ACACAGCUUGUUGCUGUAUUCUGAUCCGACCCAGAGAUGAUGAGUGUCGACAUCAUAACACAGGCAGCGUGGUUCAUCUAUUUCUUCUGAUUUUGUCAAUGAUGUAGAAUAUCACCUGCAGUGUUUAUCAAGAUGAGAUUAUUAUCACCAACCCAUACUUGGUCUGAUGUCACACAGGAAAUGUGCUCAAAAUUAUCAACCUCCGUCACAGUGAGAGAAUGGAGUAACUUGGGGGGAGACAUCAAUUUCAGCAGACUUUCAUUUCCGACCAGUGGUUUUUCUGUCUUUGGGACCUGAUAUUCACUCAGUGACUCCCAAAUAUUAAGAGCAGCUGGAUAAUGACCUACAAACAUGUUUUUUCUUUACGUAUGUUGUGUUAUAUGAAAUUACCCAUUAAUUGGUAUAUAAUUAUUUUCAUUGAAUUCAAUUAACAGAU
rnacentral:sRNA from 1 species